UGGGGAAUAUUGGACAAUGGGCGAAAGCCUGAUCCAGCCAUGCCGCGUGUGCGAAGAAGGCCUUAUGGUUGUAAAGCACUUUAAGUGGGGAGGAAAAGCUUAUGGAUAACACCCAUAGGUUCUGACGUUACCCACAGAAUAAGCACCGGCUAACUCUGUGCCAGCAGCCGCGGUAAUACAGAAGGGUGCAAGCGUUAAUCGGAAUUACUGGGCGUAAAGCGAGCGUAGGUGGUUUAUUAAGUCAGAUGUGAAAUCCCUGGGCUUAACCUAGGAACUGCAUCUGAUACUGAUAAACUAGAGUAGGUGAGAGGAAAGUAGAAUUCCAGGUGUAGCGGUGAAAUGCGUAGAGAUCUGGAGGAAUACCGAUGGCGAAGGCAGCUUUCUGGCAUCAUACUGACACUGAGGUUCGAAAGCGUGGGUAGCAAACAGGAUUAGAUACCCUGGUAGUCCACGCCGUAAACGAUGUCUACCAGUCGUUGGGUCUUUUAAAGGCUUAGUGACGCAGUUAACGCGAUAAGUAGACCGCCUGGGGAGUACGGCCGCAAGGUUA
rnacentral:rRNA from 1 species